rnacentral:lncRNA from 1 species
AUGCCAGGGGGCACCGGGGGGCACCAGGAGCCCCGCGGGGUCCUUGUGCGUCUGCGAGGGGGGAUCGUGCCCCAAAUCUCCGUCGUGCUGCUGUGUUUUGGGGUCUCACCCCCCCCCUCCCGGCCAUGGGGUGCGGGGGGACGGCUGGUGGGGGGGCUCGCAGCGAGUGACCGCUCUUCUCUCUCCUUCCCCCCCCGUCCCCAACCCCUCGCUCUCCUCCUCUCUCAGUUUCCAGCGGGGCCUCGUGCUAUUCACCAGCAGGUACUAACUCGCCCCCCCCCGCAUGCUGCGCGCCCGGCACCGCACGGGAACCCCCCCGGGGAACCAGGGGGGAGCCGCGCCGAGCCCCCCAGGGGGGCAGGCUGGGGAUAUGGGGUGGGCUCCCUCUCCUUUUGGGGGGUUUCCCUGCGGCGUCUCCGAGCUCUUGCAUGCGGCUGUGCCUGCGCUAACCCCAGCUUCUGCCUCUCCCCUCCUCUUCCUCCUCCUCCUCUUCCUCUUCUUCCUCCUCUGUCUCCUUUUGGGGGGGGGCUCCCAAAUCCGCAGCGCUCCCCGGGGUGUCCCCGUGCCCUGCUGCUGGCCUGUCCCUACCCAAACAGCACCUGGGGGGGGGUUGUGCCGUGCCCCCCAGGGGUUGUGGUGCUGCUGGGACCCCCCCAAGCUGCGUCCUCGAGACCCAUGGGGGUGUCUGGAUGCGCCCCCCCGGUCCUGCCUGUGUCCGUCCCCCCCUUACACCCCUCUGGGAGUACCACCUGGGCCUUCAUCGGCCUGGGGGGGGGCCGGUGGGGGUGGGCCUGGCCGUGUCCCCCCUGUGUUGGGGACCCCCCUUGGGGGGGGGGGGCCAGCAGGGAUUUGGGGUGCCCCAGAAUGAGUGGCUUUGGGACACGGGCACGGGGUGAGGGGCUCCCCGCUGUCCUCUUCGUGCCCGCCACCUCCCCGCACGCACCGACCCCAAGCAGGGGGGGGCUCCCCGAGGGGGGGGGCCCGUCCCCCCCCCCCCCCCCCCCCCCCCCCCCCCCGGCAGCAGGUAACCGCUCUCUCUCUCUUUCCCCUCUCCCCCGUGCGCUCGCUCUCAGGGCGGAUUCAGGUCUCUCCAGGUAA